CCUUCCAGAACAGAGAGCACCGGCGCAGACGUAUUCACGGUGGCCUCCACCAAGCAUCUCAGCUCCCGCCCCCAAGCCCCCAAGCCCGCGCAGGGUCGGCCCCGGGCGGACGAGCUCCCGCAGCCCGACCGCAGGUCCCCGCCGCGCAGAGCGAGCCGGGAGGGGGCGAGGGGUCCCCUCUGCGCAGCCCCGACCGGCCGAAGCCCGGCUGAGCCCCCGUCCCACGAUGCGACCCGGCCGGUGGGGGCUCCGCGCCCCGCGCUCGCUGUGGGGAGCCCCGCACCGCUCGGCCGCAGGGCCCCGCACGGGCCUCAGGCGCCGUCCGCUGGGGCGCGGGGGCGGCCGUCGGGCGGUGCCCGGACCCACCAGGGGGCCACGCGCGGAGCUCGGCGGCCGGGCGCACAGAUGGCUGGCGGCGCCGACCACACGCCGAGGCGAGGCCUCACGCCGCCGCCGACCGAGGCUGCUGGCGAUCAGAGGCUGAGUCUCUGUCCCGGGACCGGCGGCGACGGUGGAAAGCCACCUCCUAGUCCAGCCGCAACCAUCUUCUUUGUUUUCUCUGUUCAUUGGAUUUUCUGCCUUUUGGACUCAGAUUUGUUCUUUAUAGGAGUCUACUAAAAUUCGGAUUCCAGAACAUCUUCUCCCUCCUGCACCAUUCUGCUUCAUCACGUCCUGUGCCCAUUUGUUGGAUGGUUCCUUGGUCAGGAACCUGCGUUGACUCUUCCGCCCCCACAUCAGCCUUCAGCUCUGCCUGACCCUCCAAGGUUCUGUGACUUGGUGUGUGUCAGUCACAGGGAUCCUGAUUCACCUCGGAACUAGUUCUUUUGUAACUGAACUCAAUUGGUUCAUCUCUUGGGGGGUGGGGAGCUGAAAAGCACAACCAGGGCUGGAGUGGGUGAAGAGAAAGGUUAAUUGCUUGCAAAAGCAAUGGAGAACACCCGGGAUAAGCUCCCAAUGCAGUGUCCACAGGAGCUUAGUGCUGGUGGAGACUUUACAAACAAGGCUGCAGAAGAUAUUUACAACAGUGUAACAACUGGGGCCAGUCAGGGCACAUGUGCAGGCCAUUGCAUAAGGAGCCCAAGGUACUGUUAGGUAAAACUUAAAGAAGACAAUUUCUUCCAGGUUCCUAAAAGAAAAAUAAUGAAUAGCCACUGAUGAAAAUCAUCUUACUUAUUCAUUCACUGUUUUUUAGUAUUUUACUGCUCAUAACUGUGCAGUCUCAUCUUGGUUAUAUUUUAAAAAUCAAACGUUUUCCUACAGCUGUGGAUUACUUUAAACAGUACAGUGUAGUUACCAUAUGCUCAACCGUUCAAUUAAAUCCAUCAUGCUAUAGUACUUAGAUUCAUUUUAAAAAUCAAGAUUUUUUAAUGAUUUUAAUAAUUUAAUGACUUUAAUGAUUUUAAUGAUUUUUUUAUUGAUUGAAAUGUACUACUAGAAAGGUCUCAAGUGUCUUUUAAUGGAAAUGAAAUGUACAUAUGUAUGGGUAAAAAGACAAGUCACUAGUCUGAGAUGAGAACGAUAAAUCUCAUGGAAAAUACUCGCAUGUCUGUACUUGUACAGUGUGUGCUGCUCAACAGAGAAGACGAUCAAAGUCAAUGGAUUAAACAGAGCUGUGAUAGUUUGUGAUAAACCUCAGGGGAAAAUCCAGACUUUGUAUUUUUGAUAUUUUUUGCACUAGUGUAUUAUUAUAGACAUGAAGACUUGUGAAAUUUCAUUUUAAUCAGUCAUUUAAUCAGACGUCCAUUUAAUGGGGUCAAAUCAUUGGACUGUGUUCUGUUUUUGUUACACCUGCCUCAGUUCUAAUUGGUCUACACUCCCUCUGCCUAUCAUUUUUUGUCUGUCUUUUAAAGCAAUAAAAUGAGUGUUUUUCAAAUCUCCA
rnacentral:lncRNA from 1 species